UUCCUAAAAGUACUAACGUAUUCUAAUUUUUGGUGUUAGAGGUAGCCAUUAGGUUGGCUUUAGGAAA
rnacentral:tRNA from 1 species